rnacentral:rRNA from 1 species
AUUGAACGCUGGCGGCAGGCCUAACACAUGCAAGUCGAGCGAGCGGCGAACGGGUGAGUAAUGUCUGGGAAACUGCCUGAUGGAGGGGGAUAAAUACUGGAAAAGGUAGCUAAUACCGCAUACCAUCAGAUGUGCCCAGAUGGGAUUAGCUGGUAGGUGGGGUAAUGGAUCACCUAGGCGACGAUCCCUAGCGGGUCUGAGAGGAUGACCAGCCACACUGGAACUGAGAAACGGUCCAGGCUCCUGCGGGAGGCAGGAGUGGGGAAUAUUGGACAGUGGGCGCAGGCCUGAUGCAGCCAUGCCGGGUGUGUUAAGAGGGCCUUAGGGUUGUGAAGUACUGUCAUCGGGGAGGCGUUACCCGCAGAAGAAGCACCGGCUAACUCCGUGCCAGCAGCCGCGGUAAUAC